ensembl:snRNA U2 U2 spliceosomal RNA
AUGACUUCUCGGCCUUUGGGGCUAAGAUCAAGUGUAGUACCUGUCCUUAUCAGUUUAAUAUCUGAUAUGUAAACAUAUUAAAUAGAUUUUUGGAGCAUAAAAAAAAAAUCCCAC